AUUGAACGCUGGCGGCAGGCCUAACACAUGCAAGUCGAACGAGUGGCGGACGGGUGAGUAAUGUCUGGGCAACUGCCUGAUGGAGGGGGAUAACUACUGGAAACGGUAGCUAAUACCGCCUACCAUCGGAUGUGCCCAGAUGGGAUUAGCUAGUAGGUGGGGUAAUGGCUCACCUAGGCGACGAUCCCUAGCUGGUCUGAGAGGAUGACCAGCAACACGGGAACGGAGACGCGGUCCAGACUCCUACGGGAGGCAGCAGUGGGGAAUAUUGCAAAAUGGGCGCAAGCCUGAUGCAGCCAUGCGGCGUGUGUGAAGAAGGCCUUCGGGUUGUAGAGCACUUUCAGCGAGGAGGCGUUACUCGAAGAAGAAGCACCGGCUAACUCCGUGCCAGCAGCCGCGGUAAUUC
rnacentral:rRNA from 1 species